rnacentral:rRNA from 1 species
UACGGAGGGUGCGAGCGUUGUCCGGAAUCAUUGGGCGUAAAGGGCGCGUAGGUGGCGGGGUAAGUCAGGUGUGAAAUUUCGGAGCUUAACUCCGAAACUGCAUUUGAUACUGCCUUGCUUGAGGACUGGAGAGGAGACUGGAAUUCACGGUGUAGCAGUGAAAUGCGUAGAGAUCGUGAGGAAGACCAGUGGCGAAGGCGGGUCUCUGGACAGUUCCUGACACUGAGGCACGAAGGCCAGGGGAGCAAACGGG